rnacentral:rRNA from 1 species
GGGUUGUGAGGUUAAGCGACUAAGCGUACACGGUGGAUGCCCUGGCAGUCAGAGGCGAUGAAGGACGUGCUAAUCUGCGAUAAGCGUCGGUAAGGUGAUAUGAACCGUUAUAACCGGCGAUUUCCGAAUGGGGAAACCCAGUGUGUUUCGACACACUAUCAUUAACUGAAUCCAUAGGUUAAUGAGGCGAACCGGGGGAACUGAAACAUCUAAGUACCCCGAGGAAAAGAAAUCAACCGAGAUUCCCCCAGUAGCGGCGAGCGAACGGGGAGGAGCCCAGAGCCUGAAUCAGUGUGUGUGUUAGUGGAAGCGUCUGGAAAGGCGCGCGAUACAGGGUGACAGCCCCGUACACAAAAAUGCACAUGCUGUGAGCUCGAUGAGUAGGGCGGGACACGUGGUAUCCUGUCUGAAUAUGGGGGGACCAUCCUCCAAGGCUAAAUACUCCUGACUGACCGAUAGUGAACCAGUACCGUGAGGGAAAGGCGAAAAGAACCCCGGCGAGGGGAGUGAAAAAGAACCUGAAACCGUGUACGUACAAGCAGUGGGAGCACGCUUAGGCGUGUGACUGCGUACCUUUUGUAUAAUGGGUCAGCGACUUAUAUUCUGUAGCAAGGUUAACCGAAUAGGGGAGCCGAAGGGAAACCGAGUCUUAACUGGGCGUUAAGUUGCAGGGUAUAGACCCGAAACCCGGUGAUCUAGCCAUGGGCAGGUUGAAGGUUGGGUAACACUAACUGGAGGACCGAACCGACUAAUGUUGAAAAAUUAGCGGAUGACUUGUGGCUGGGGGUGAAAGGCCAAUCAAACCGGGAGAUAGCUGGUUCUCCCCGAAAGCUAUUUAGGUAGCGCCUCGUGAAUUCAUCUCCGGGGGUAGAGCACUGUUUCGGCAAGGGGGUCAUCCCGACUUACCAACCCGAUGCAAACUGCGAAUACCGGAGAAUGUUAUCACGGGAGACACACGGCGGGUGCUAACGUCCGUCGUGAAGAGGGAAACAACCCAGACCGCCAGCUAAGGUCCCAAAGUCAUGGUUAAGUGGGAAACGAUGUGGGAAGGCCCAGACAGCCAGGAUGUUGGCUUAGAAGCAGCCAUCAUUUAAAGAAAGCGUAAUAGCUCACUGGUCGAGUCGGCCUGCGCGGAAGAUGUAACGGGGCUAAACCAUGCACCGAAGCUGCGGCAGCGACGCUUAUGCGUUGUUGGGUAGGGGAGCGUUCUGUAAGCCUGUGAAGGUGUACUGUGAGGUAUGCUGGAGGUAUCAGAAGUGCGAAUGCUGACAUAAGUAACGAUAAAGCGGGUGAAAAGCCCGCUCGCCGGAAGACCAAGGGUUCCUGUCCAACGUUAAUCGGGGCAGGGUGAGUCGACCCCUAAGGCGAGGCCGAAAGGCGUAGUCGAUGGGAAACAGGUUAAUAUUCCUGUACUUGGUGUUACUGCGAAGGGGGGACGGAGAAGGCUAUGUUGGCCGGGCGACGGUUGUCCCGGUUUAAGCGUGUAGGCUGGUUUUCCAGGCAAAUCCGGAAAAUCAAGGCUGAGGCGUGAUGACGAGGCACUACGGUGCUGAAGCAACAAAUGCCCUGCUUCCAGGAAAAGCCUCUAAGCAUCAGGUAACAUCAAAUCGUACCCCAAACCGACACAGGUGGUCAGGUAGAGAAUACCAAGGCGCUUGAGAGAACUCGGGUGAAGGAACUAGGCAAAAUGGUGCCGUAACUUCGGGAGAAGGCACGCUGAUAUGUAGGUGAAGUCCCUCGCGGAUGGAGCUGAAAUCAGUCGAAGAUACCAGCUGGCUGCAACUGUUUAUUAAAAACACAGCACUGUGCAAACACGAAAGUGGACGUAUACGGUGUGACGCCUGCCCGGUGCCGGAAGGUUAAUUGAUGGGGUCAGCGCAAGCGAAGCUCUUGAUCGAAGCCCCGGUAAACGGCGGCCGUAACUAUAACGGUCCUAAGGUAGCGAAAUUCCUUGUCGGGUAAGUUCCGACCUGCACGAAUGGCGUAAUGAUGGCCAGGCUGUCUCCACCCGAGACUCAGUGAAAUUGAACUCGCUGUGAAGAUGCAGUGUACCCGCGGCAAGACGGAAAGACCCCGUGAACCUUUACUAUAGCUUGACACUGAACAUUGAGCCUUGAUGUGUAGGAUAGGUGGGAGGCUUUGAAGUGUGGACGCCAGUCUGCAUGGAGCCGACCUUGAAAUACCACCCUUUAAUGUUUGAUGUUCUAACGUGGACCCGUAAUCCGGGUUGCGGACAGUGUCUGGUGGGUAGUUUGACUGGGGCGGUCUCCUCCUAAAGAGUAACGGAGGAGCACGAAGGUUGGCUAAUCCUGGUCGGACAUCAGGAGGUUAGUGCAAUGGCAUAAGCCAGCUUGACUGCGAGCGUGACGGCGCGAGCAGGUGCGAAAGCAGGUCAUAGUGAUCCGGUGGUUCUGAAUGGAAGGGCCAUCGCUCAACGGAUAAAAGGUACUCCGGGGAUAACAGGCUGAUACCGCCCAAGAGUUCAUAUCGACGGCGGUGUUUGGCACCUCGAUGUCGGCUCAUCACAUCCUGGGGCUGAAGUAGGUCCCAAGGGUAUGGCUGUUCGCCAUUUAAAGUGGUACGCGAGCUGGGUUUAGAACGUCGUGAGACAGUUCGGUCCCUAUCUGCCGUGGGCGCUGGAGAACUGAGGGGGGCUGCUCCUAGUACGAGAGGACCGGAGUGGACGCAUCACUGGUGUUCGGGUUGUCAUGCCAAUGGCACUGCCCGGUAGCUAAAUGCGGAAGAGAUAAGUGCUGAAAGCAUCUAAGCACGAAACUUGCCCCGAGAUGAGUUCUCCCUGACUCCUUGAGAGUCCUGAAGGAACGUUGAAGACGACGACGUUGAUAGGCCGGGUGUGUAAGCGCAGCGAUGCGUUGAGCUAACCGGUACUAAUGAACCGUGAGGCUUAACCUUACAACGCCGAAGCUGUU